rnacentral:rRNA from 1 species
UACAGAGGUCCCAAGCGUUUGUUCGGAUUUAUUGGGCGUAAAGGGUGCGUAGGCGGCGGAGUAAGUUGGGUGUGAAAUCCCGGGGCUCAACCUCGGAAUGUCAUUCAAUACUGCUUCGCUAGAGUACGGGAGAGGGUCGCGGAAUUCCCGGUGUAGAGGUGAAAUUCGUAGAUAUCGGGAGGAACACCAGUGGCGAAGGCGGCGACCUGGACCGAUACUGACGCUGAGGUGCGAAAGCGUGGGGAGCAAACAGG